GAUGAACGCUGGCGGCGUGCUUAACACAUGCAAGUCGAACGGAAAGGCUCCUGCUUGCAGGGGUACUCGAGUGGCGAACGGGUGAGUAACACGUGGGUGAUCUGCCCUGCACUUCGGGAUAAGCCUGGGAAACUGGGUCUAAUACCGGAUAGGACCACAUUUUGGAUGGUGUGGUGGAAAGUUUUUCGGUGUGGGAUGAGCUCGCGGCCUAUCAGCUUGUUGGUGGGGUAAUGGCCUACCAAGGCGUCGACGGGUAGCCGGCCUGAGAGGGUGUACGGCCACAUUGGGACUGAGAUACGGCCCAGACUCCUACGGGAGGCAGCAGUGGGGAAUAUUGCACAAUGGGCGCAAGCCUGAUGCAGCGACGCCGCGUGGGGGAUGACGGCCUUCGGGUUGUAAACUCCUUUCGCUAGGGACGAAGCGCAAGUGACGGUACCUGGAGAAGAAGCACCGGCUAACUAUGUG
rnacentral:rRNA from 1 species